UCUUCUUGUUUCACGCGAGCAGCACCGAGACGCGCCCAAAAGUUUGAACAAACAAGACGCGACCCCAAUCGUGAGACCCAAACCCAGAAAAUCGUGCAGCCGCGUGGCCCUCUCCUCUCUGCUUAUCAUUUCUGUACAAAGCUGUUGGAGAAUAUCCAGGUGUCUAAAUCAAGUCAAUCCUUCGUCCUUUUCUCAGAAAUCAAGCGGCGAGCCUUUCAAUUCCGUUGAGUGUUGUACUAUGGACAAUUUUAGGAGCAUUUGAAUUUUGAAUUUAAAACUACAUUCUUUUCCAUUUGUCCCCCCCUACCCCUUUUACUUAAGCCUUAAUCCUUUUCUAUUAAAAAACUCAUAUUCUCAAUCUUUGGGGUUAGAGAGAGAUUAUAUAAAGUUGGGGAAAAUUUGGAAAAAAGGGAGGAAGACAAUAAAGAAAGGGUACAAGAAGCCAAAACAAAUUUACUCAUAAAAUAGCUUACCAAAGGUUUUUGGAAUCAAUUUCUACCGUCGAAAAGUACUUAGAAAGAUUUUGUAGUCGCACAUUAACAGAGUUCUAUUCGUUCGAUUUCUACUUAGAAUUAUUUAUUCAUUGCUCGAAUAAGAAUUCGUGGGGUGGAAGAGCUUGUCCCUGCUCGUUUCUCUUCUGUUCGCUGCCUGGAAGAAGGUUCCGAUCGUUGAAAACUCAUUCGGGGACGACUUUAAAACGGCUUGGAUAUUCUCUAUCAUCCAAGUGGGUGGUAACUAACAUUCCGAGGACGAUGCCAACAUCUUGCCUAUAAAGUUUCUUUGUUUUUCUAUGAUUUUUAUGUUCAUUCCACUUUCAUUGUGUACGACUUGUAUAAGCCUAUAUGUGGCUUCUUUACAUUUGAUGUAGAGCUAUUCACAUAUUGAGAUGAUUGUUUAGAUAGUAUGAGAUCGGACAAUCUUUGAGACCAUUUUUCUUUCU